UGAGGAAUAUUGGACAAUGGGCGCAAGCCUGAUCCAGCCAUGCCGCGUGCAGGAUGACGGUCCUAUGGAUUGUAAACUGCUUUUGUACAGGAAGAAACAGUUCUACGUGUAGAACCUUGACGGUACUGUAAGAAUAAGGAUCGGCUAACUCCGUGCCAGCAGCCGCGGUAAUACGGAGGAUCCAAGCGUUAUCCGGAAUCAUUGGGUUUAAAGGGUCCGUAGGCGGUUAGAUAAGUCAGUGGUGAAAGCCCAUCGCUCAACGGUGGAACGGCCAUUGAUACUGUCUGACUUGAAUUAUUAGGAAGUAACUAGAAUAUGUAGUGUAGCGGUGAAAUGCUUAGAGAUUACAUGGAAUACCAAUUGCGAAGGCAGGUUACUACUAAUGGAUUGACGCUGAUGGACGAAAGACGUGGGUAGCGAACAGGAUUAGAUACCCAAGUAGUCCCUGAGCGGGCUGGCAAGGCGC
rnacentral:rRNA from 1 species